rnacentral:rRNA from 1 species
UACGUAGGGGGCAAGCGUUGUCCGGAUUUAUUGGGCGUAAAGAGCGUGUAGGCGGUUUGGUAGGUCCGCUGUGAAAACUCGAGGCUCAACCUCGAGCUGUCGGUGGACACCGUGUGGCUAGAGUCCGGAAGAGGAGAGUGGAAUUCCCGGUGUAGCGGUGAAAUGCGCAGAUAUCGGGAAGAACACCCGUGGCGAAGGCGGCUCUCUGGGACGGUACUGACGCUGAGACGCGAAAGCGUGGGGAGCGAACAGG